rnacentral:tRNA from 1 species
CGGGGAUUGGCGCAAUUGGCUAGCGCGCACGGUUCGGGAUCGUGAGGUUGCUGGUUCGAAUCCAGUAUCCCCGACCA